rnacentral:lncRNA from 1 species
UGGUGCAACCCCGUUUCUAGUAAAAAUGCAAAAAUUAGCAAGGUGUGGUGAUGUGUGCCUGUAAUCCCAGCUUCGGAUCUGAGGUGGGAGAAUCACUUGAGCCUAGGAGACUGAGGCUGCAGUGAACCAAGAGCACGCCACUGCACUCCAGCCUGGGUGACAGUGAGACUGUCUAAAAAAAUAUUUUGGUAGAUAUCAUUGGUAUAUUCUCACCACACACACACAAACACAAAACCUGACCAAAUUUUAAUAAAUAAAACAAAAAGCUUACAUAACAUCAAAUCUAAAAAUUCACGUGGUAUUUUCAUCUGCUUCUUACAUAUAGAGCUUUAAAGCUUACUAACAGACUUUUUUUUUUUUUUUUGAGACAGAGUCUUGCUCUGUCGCCCAGGCUGGAGUGCAGUGGCCAGAUCUCUGCUCACUGCAAGCUCUGUCUCCCGGGUUUUACGCCAUUCUCCUGCCUCAGCCUCCCUGAGUAGCUGGGACUACAGGCGCCCGCCACCUCACCGGGCUAGUUUUUUGUAUUUUUUAGUAGAGACGGGGUUUCACCGUGUUAACCAGGAUGGUCUCGAUCUCCUGACCUCGUGAUCCGCCCGUCUCAGCCUCCCAAAGUGCUGGGAUUACAGGCUUGAGCCACUGCGCCCAGCCACUAACAGACUUUUAAAAAAAAACAUACUUUACUCAUUUCCAUCUAAAUCUUUCCAAAUAACAUACUCACCUUUGGUGUAGAAAUUUCUUGCCUUCCUAACACUUACUGGCCUUGUAUUUUUUGACGUUUUCAUUCUCAAUGGGGUGGAAUGGCUAAAUGUGUAGGUGGUGGAAUCAUACUGCCUGGGUUUCAAUCCUGGCUCUGCUGCUUACCAGCUGUGUCACUGGAGCAAGUUGCUUAACCUCUCUGAGACUUUGUUUCCUCAUCUGUAACAUGUUGGUAGUUACAGUAAUGUCUCAGAAUUGUUGUGAGGAAUAAGAGUUAAUACAAGGAAAGCAAAGUACCUGGCAUAUUGUGCUCCAUAAGUGAAAUCACUACCAUGAUUUUAAUAACUUCUUUAGCCUGGGCUACAUGGCGAAACCUCACCUCUACAAAAAAUACAAAAAUUAGCCAGCUGUGAUGGUGCAUGUCAGCUACUCAGGAGGCUGAGGUGGGAGGAUCAUCUGAGUCUGCAGUGAGCCGUAAUUGUGCCACUGCACUCCAGCCUGGGUGAUACAGUAAGGUCCUGUCUCAAAAAAAAAAAAA